CAGCCAUCUGACAGCGUUGGCUUCCGUGCCAGGCUCCAGACCCUGGAGAAAAGGGUUCAGAAAUGCCCGACAAAGCCCUCCCACCAGGCUCCAGGCCCCGCCUCCAACAGGACUUCUUCCCGCGGAAUCGCAUCUCUGUUAAGUAAAGAACGCCAGCCAGAUACUAUCAACGGAUGGGAACUGGCACAUCAGACUGAACGCAUUACAUGAGGAAACGCUCACGAUAUAAGCCGAGCAGAAAGAAGCAUGAUGUGCAACCCAGACCGAAGAUUAUUUUCUGCUUGAUAUAAUUCUAAUUUUGAUCCACCCUCCCCUCACCUCCACCCAACUUCACGAAGGAUUAAGAUGGGGCUACA
rnacentral:lncRNA from 1 species